rnacentral:tRNA from 3 species
GGCUGUGUAGCUCAGUUGGCAGAGCAGCGGAAUCAUAAUCCGCUUGUCGGUGGUUCAAGUCCACUCACAGCCACCA